rnacentral:rRNA from 1 species
AGUGAACGCUGGCGGUAGGCCUAACACAUGCAAGUCGAACGGCAGCACAGUAAGAGCUUGCUCUUACGGGUGGCGAGUGGCGGACGGGUGAGGAAUACAUCGGAAUCUACUUUUUCGUGGGCGAUAACGUAGGGAAACUUACGCUAAUACCGCAUACGACCUACGGGUGAAAGCAGGGGAUCUUCGGACCUUGCGCGAUUGAAUGAGCCGAUGUCGGAUUAGCUAGUUGGCGGGGUAAAGGCCCACCAAGGCGACGAUCCGUAGCUGGUCUGAGAGGAUGAUCAGCCACACUGGAACUGAGACACGGUCCAGACUCCUACGGGAGGCAGCAGUGGGGAAUAUUGGACAAUGGGCGCAAGCCUGAUCCAGCCAUACCGCGUGGGUGAAGAGGGCCUUCGGGUUGUAAAGCCCUUUUGUUGGGAAAGAAAAGCAGCAGGUUAAUACCCCGCUAUUCUGACGGUACCCAAAGAAUAAGCACCGGCUAACUUCGUG